rnacentral:rRNA from 1 species
ACCAGACUCCUACGGGAGGCAGCAGUGGGGAAUAUUGCACAAUGGGGGGAACCCUGAUGCAGCGACGCCGCGUGGGUGAAGAAGCGCCUCGGCGCGUAAAGCCCUGUCAGCAGGGAAGAAAAUGACGGUACCUGAAGAAGAAGCCCCGGCUAACUACGUGCCAGCAGCCGCGGUAAUACGUAGGGGGCAAGCGUUAUCCGGAUUUACUGGGUGUAAAGGGGGCGCAGACGGCGAUGCAAGCCAGGAGUGAAAGCCCGGGGCCCAACCCCGGGACUGCUCUUGGAACUGCGUGGCUGGAGUGCAGGAGGGGCAGGCGGAAUUCCUGGUGUAGCGGUGAAAUGCGUAGAUAUCAGGAGGAACACCGGCGGCGAAGGCGGCCUGCUGGACCGCGACUGACGUUGAGGCUCGAAAGCGUGGGGAGCAAACAGGAUUAGAUACCCCCGUA